rnacentral:rRNA from 1 species
CACCGAAUAGCUAGCCCACCCCUAUAAAAUCAACAACUACAAUUUAAUACCCCCAAAUUCACAGGCACUCCUACCAAACAAACCAUUUUUCCCCCUUAGUAUGGGCGACAGAAAAGGGACACUACAAGGCGCAAUAAAGAAUUAGUACCGCAAGGGAACGCUGAAAGAGAAAUGAAAUAACCCAAUAAAGACUAAAAAAGCAGAGAUACACCCUCGUACCUUUUGCAUCAUGAUUUAGCUAGUGCAUUCCAAGCAAAAAGCAGUUUAGUUUGAUUACCCGAAACUAGGUGAGCUACUCCAAGACAGCCUAUUAAUAGGGCAAACCCGUCUCUGUGGCAAAAGAGUGGGAAGAGCUUUGAGUAGAGGUGACAGACCUACCGAACCUAGUUAUAGCUGGUUGCCCGAGAACUGGACAGAAGUUCAGCCUCCCGGCUUCUUUAUUCCAUUAGAUACAUUAAUCCUGCCUGAUCCUUCAAGAAACCGAGAGAGUUAUUCAAAGGAGGUACAGCCCCUUUGAACCAAGACACAACUUUUCCAGGAGGGUAAAGAUCAUAGUUGACGCAAGGCACAAUGCCCCCGUAGGCCUAAAAGCAGCCAUCCCCACAGAAAGCGUUAAAGCUCGAGCAACCCGCCCACCCCCUAAUACUGAUCAUACAAUCUCAUCCCCCUGAAACUUACCGGGCCUCCCCAUGCACAACCAUGGGGGUGACCAUGCUAAUAUGAGUAACAAGAGAGCCUCGCCUCUCUCCUCGUACACGUAUAAAUCGGAACGGACACUCCACCGAAAAUUAACGGUCCCAAACAAAGAGGGAACUGAAUAUCAGACCAAAGAACUAGAAAAACACCCAAUAAACCUGACCGUUAACCCAACACAGGUGUACACCCGAGGAAAGACUAAAAGAAAGAGAAGGAACUCGGCAAACACCCCUUAAGCCUCGCCUGUUUACCAAAAACAUCGCCUCUUGCAAAGCAAUAGAUAAGAGGUCCUGCCUGCCCUGUGACGAAAUGUUUAACGGCCGCGGUAUCUUAACCGUGCAAAGGUAGCGCAAUCACUUGUCUUUUAAAUGGAGACCCGUAUGAAUGGCUAAACGAGGGCCUAACUGUCUCCUUUCCCAAAUCAGUGAAAUUGAUCUCUCCGUGCAGAAGCGGGGAUAAAAACAUAAGACGAGAAGACCCUAUGGAGCUUUAGACACUAAGAUAGCCCCCCUCCCAACCCCUUAAAGGGAUACUAGAGCUUGAAAGACCACUAUCCUAAUGUCUUCGGUUGGGGCGACCGAGGGGGAACACUUAACCCCCAUGCAGAAGUGAAGGCCUCCUUCCAAAAACAAGAGCUACCGCUCUAAUUCUCAGAACCUCUGACUUAUAAUGAUCCGGCAAUGCCGAUCAACGGACCAAGUUACCCUAGGGAUAACAGCGCAAUCCUCUUUAAGAGACCCUAUCGCCAAGAGGGUUUACGACCUCGAUGUUGGAUCAGGACAUCCUAAUGGUGCAGCCGCUAUUAAGGGUUCGUUUGUUCAACGAUUAAUAGUCCUACGUGAUCUGAGUUCAAACCGGAGUAAUCCAGGUCAGUUUCUAUCUAUGCCAUACCCUCUCCUAGUACGAAGGGAUCGGAGAAGGAAGGCCCCUGCUACACCCAUGCCCUAUCCUCAUCUGCUGCCGGUCAAUUAAACAGCCAACUGGAUACCCCCUCCCCCAUAUGAGAGCCAUAUAA